rnacentral:rRNA from 1 species
UACGUACGAGGCGAGCGUUAUCCGGAAUUACUGGGCGUAAAGCGCGCGCAGGCGGACCAUUAAGUUGGGCGUGAAAUCUCCCGGCCUAACUGGGAGGGGUCGCCCAAGACUGGUGGUCUUGAGGACAGCAGAGGUGGGUGGAAUUCCUGGUGUAGUGGUGAAAUGCGUAGAGAUCAGGAGGAACACCGGUGGCGAAGGCGGCCCACUGGGCUGUCACUGACGCUGAGGCGCGAAAGCUAGGGGAGCAAACGGG